UAUGUAGGGUGCAAGCGUUAAUCGGAAUUACUGGGCGUAAAGCGUGCGCAGGCGGUUUUGUAAGUCUGACGUGAAAUCCCCGGGCUCAACCUGGGAAUUGCGUUGGAGACUGCAAGGCUAGAAUCUGGCAGAGGGGGGUAGAAUUCCACGUGUAGCAGUGAAAUGCGUAGAGAUGUGGAGGAACACCGAUGGCGAAGGCAGCCCCCUGGGUCGAGAUUGACGCUCAUGCACGAAAGCGUGGGGAGCGAACAGG
rnacentral:rRNA from 1 species